rnacentral:rRNA from 1 species
GACGAACGCUGGCGGCGUGCUUAACACAUGCAAGUCGAACGAAGUGGCGCACGGGUGAGUAACGCGUAAUCAACCUGCACUUACGAGGGGGACAACAGUUGGAAACGACUGCUAAUCCCGCAUACUGUCGGAGGGGCUUGCGUCUGAUUAGCUCGGUGGCGGGGUAACGGCCCACGAAGGCGAUGCUCAGUAGCCGGUCUGAGAGGAUGAACGGCCACAGUGGGACGGAGACACGGCCCAGACUCCUACGGGAGGCAGCAGUGGGUAAUCUUACGCAAUGGACGAAAGUCUGACGGAGCAACGCCGCGUGAGUGAUGACGGCCUUCGGGUUGUAAAGCUCUGUUAAUCGGGACGCGGUACCGGAAUAGAAAGCCACGGCUAACUACGUGCCAGCAGCCGCGGUAAUUC